UGGGGUAUAGCUCGGUCUGGUUAGAGCAAUCGUCUGAUAAGCGAUAGGUCGUGGGUUCAAAUCCCACUGCCCCAAC
rnacentral:tRNA from 2 species